rnacentral:rRNA from 2 species
CCUCAGAUUGAACGCUGGCGGCAGCUAMCAUGCAGUCGAACGGUAACAGGAAGCAGCUUGCUGCUUCGCUGACGAGUGGCGGACGGGUGAGUAAUGUCUGGGAAACUGCCUGAUGGAGGGGGAUAACUACUGGAAACGGUAGCUAAUACCGCAUAACGUCGCAAGACCAAAGAGGGGGACCUUCGGGCCUCUUGCCAUCGGAUGUGCCCAGAUGGGAUUAGCUAGUAGGUGGGGUAACGGCUCACCUAGGCGACGAUCCCUAGCUGGUCUGAGAGGAUGACCAGCCACACUGGAACUGAGACACGGUCCAGACUCCUACGGGAGGCAGCAGUGGGGAAUAUUGCACAAUGGGCGCAAGCCUGAUGCAGCCAUGCCGCGUGUAUGAAGAAGGCCUUCGGGUUGUAAAGUACUUUCAGCGGGGAGGAAGGCGAUAAGGUUAAUAACCUUGUCGAUUGACGUUACCCGCAGAAGAAGCACCGGCUAACUCCGUGCCAGCAGCCGCGGUAAUACGGAGGGUGCAAGCGUUAAUCGGAAUUACUGGGCGUAAAGCGCACGCAGGCGGUCUGUCAAGUCGGAUGUGAAAUCCCCGGGCUCAACCUGGGAACUGCAUUCGAAACUGGCAGGCUAGAGUCUUGUAGAGGGGGGUAGAAUUCCAGGUGUAGCGGUGAAAUGCGUAGAGAUCUGGAGGAAUACCGGUGGCGAAGGCGGCCCCCUGGACAAAGACUGACGCUCAGGUGCGAAAGCGUGGGGAGCAAACAGGUUAG